rnacentral:rRNA from 1 species
UACGUAGGGAGCAAGCGUUGUCCGGAAUCAUUGGGCGUAAAGAGCGCGUAGGUGGCUGCAUAAGUCCGUUGUGAAAGUCAAGGGCUCAACCUUUGAAAGCCGAUGGAUACUGUGGAGCUAGAGUACGGAAGAGGCGAGUGGAAUUCCUGGUGUAGCGGUGGAAUGCGCAGAUAUCAGGAGGAACACCAAUAGCGAAGGCAGCUCGCUGGGACGUUACUGACACUGAGGCGCGAAAGCGUGGGGAGCGAACAGG